UGCACUGGGAAAAGGCAAGAAAACUGCAGAUUUUGCAAGCUAUUUUUAGGUAUACCCUCAAUGAAAACAUGCAUGAUUAAUGUUUUCAUUUGUGGUAUAUUUGUUUUUAUUGGGGGUAUACCUAAAAAUAGCUUGCAAAAUCUGCAGUUUUCUUGUCUUUUCCCAGUGCA